rnacentral:rRNA from 1 species
GACGAACGCUGGCGGCGUGCUUAACACAUGCAAGUCGAACGAAGAGCGAUGGAAGCUUGCUUCUAUCAAUCUUAGUGGCGAACGGGUGAGUAACGCGUAAUCAACCUGCCCUUCAGAGGGGGACAACAGUUGGAAACGACUGCUAAUACUGCAUACGAUCUAACCUCGGCAUCGAGGAUAGAUGAAAGGUGGCCUCUACAUGUAAGCUAUCACUGAAGGAGGGGAUUGCGUCUGAUUAGCUAGUUGGAGGGGUAACGGCCCACCAAGGCGAUGAUCAGUAGCCGGUCUGAGAGGAUGAACGGCCACAUUGGGACUGAGACACGGCCCAGACUCCUACGGGAGGCAGCAGUGGGGAAUCUUCCGCAAUGGACGAAAGUCUGACGGAGCAACGCCGCGUGAGUGAUGACGGCCAUCGGGUUGUAAAGCUCUGUUAAUCGGGACGAGAAGGCCUUCUUGCGAAUUUUCUUAGGAU